GAUGAACGCUGGCGGCGUGCCUAAUACAUGCAAGUCGAGCGAACGGACGAGAAGCUUGCUUCUCUGAUGUUAGCGGCGGACGGGUGAGUAACACGUGGAUAACCUACCUAUAAGACUGGGAUAACUUCGGGAAACCGGAGCUAAUACCGGAUGAUAUUUUGAACCGCAUGGUUCAAAAGUGAAAGACGGUCUUGCUGUCACUUAUAGAUGGAUCCGCGCUGCAUUAGCUAGUUGGUAAGGUAACGGCUUACCAAGGCAACGAUGCAUAGCCGACCUGAGAGGGUGAUCGGCCACACUGGAACGGAGACACGGUCCAGACUCCUACGGGAGGCGGCAGUAGGGAAUCUUCCGCAAUGGGGGAAAGCCUGACGGAGCAACGCCGCGUGAGUGAUGAAGGUCUUCGGAUCGUAAAACUCUGUUAUUAGGGAAGAACAUAUGUGUAAGUAACUGUGCACAUCUUGACGGUACCUAAUCAGAAAGCCACGGCUAACUACGUG
rnacentral:rRNA from 1 species